rnacentral:misc_RNA from 1 species
GUCCUUCAAAGGUCCUACACCACGCCCUUCUCGAAUUUCCAUAGUCAUAGAUCUGGAAACAACAUCUCUUGAGGCAAGAUCCUUGGCAGUUGGGGCAUACCUUUCCAUAAAUCGCUCACCCUCACUAUUCCUCAGGAUACCACCUUCACCGCGAGAUCCUUCAGUAAUGAGGCAACCAGCCCCAUAUAUACCAGUUGGAUGAAAUUGCACAAACUCAAGAUCCUGAAGAGGAAGCCCAGCACGCGCAACCAUAGCAUUACCAUCUCCAGUGCAAGUAUGAGCAGAUGUUGCCGAGAAGUAAGCUCGGCCAUAACCCCCGGUGGCCAAAAUUGUAUUGGCAGCACGGAAUCGAUGCAAGGUACCAUCCUCCAUAUUUAGUGCUAUUACACCUUGGCAGCUCCCAUCACUGUUCAUUAGUAAAUCCAAAGCGAAAUAUUCCACAAAAAACUGUGUAUUAUGCUUCAUGGCCUGGCCAUAAAGAGUAUGCAAUAGAGCAUGCCCAGUCCGAUCUGCAGCGCAUGCACAACGAUAUGCUUGUCCUCCUUUCCCAAAGUCCAGGCUUUGACCACCAAAUGCACGUUGAUAUAUUUUACCAUCUUCUGUUCGAGAGAAAGGCAAACCAUAAUUCUCAAGCUCUAUAACUGCUUUUGGAGCUUCUCUACACAUGUAUUGGAUAGCAUCCUGAUCACCUAACCAAUCACUUCCUUUGACUGUAUCAUACAUGUGCCACCUCCAAUCGUCUUCUGUCAUGUUGCCUAAUGCAGCAUUUAUACCACCCUGAGCUGCAACAGUGUGAGAUCGAGUAGGAAAGAGCUUGGUUAUGCAAGCAGUAUUGAAUCCAUGCUCAGACAACCCUAUUGCUGCACGAAGCCCAGCACCGCCUGCACCAACCACCACCGCAUCAUAUGUGUGAUCGACUACCGUGUAGGACGAGCCUCCCACAUUAGUUUGUGAGGAGAAGAGUCGGCGAAAAUGGCCGCCGCCGGAGAUAGAUCUGUUGGAGGAAGCGCGAAGACCACGCGACACACAGCGCCACAUUCUGAAACGUAUCGGAAACCAAUAUGCCGGUGCGGAUUCUGUUCGGAGAUUGAAUGGAGUUAUAGAUGAAGAAGUACAGAAUACAAUGUAGAGCAAUCAAAUGGAUGUGAAAGUGGGAUGAAGAGAAGGACUAUGAUUU